GAUGAACGCUGGCGGCGUGCUUAACACAUGCAAGUCGAACGAGAAUCAACGGAUUGAGGAUUCGUCCAAAUGAAGUUGAGGAAAGUGGCGGACGGGUGAGUAACGCGUGAGGAACCUGCCUCGGAGUGGGGAAUAACAGUUGGAAACAGCUGCUAAUACCGCAUAAUGCAACGGAAUCGCAUGACUCUGUUGCCAAAGAUUUAUCGCUCUGAGAUGGCCUCGCGUCUGAUUAGUUAGUUGGUAGGGUAACGGCCUACCAAGACGAUGAUCAGUAGCCGGACUGAGAGGUUGAACGGCCACAUUGGGACUGAGAUACGGCCCAG
rnacentral:rRNA from 1 species